UACGUAGGGUGCGAGCGUUGUCCGGAAUUAUUGGGCGUAAAGAGCUCGUAGGCGGUUUGUCGCGUCGGCCGUGAAAACUUGGGGCUUAACCCCGAGCCUGCGGUCGAUACGGGCAGGCUCGAGUUCGGUAGGGGAGACUGGAAUUCCUGGUGUAGCGGUGAAAUGCGCAGAUAUCAGGAGGAACACCGGUGGCGAAGGCGGGUCUCUGGGCCGAUACUGACGCUGAGGAGCGAAAGCGUGGGGAGCGAACAGG
rnacentral:rRNA from 1 species